GCAUCGAUGAAGAACGCAGCGAAAUGCGAUACGUAAUAUGAAUUGCAGAUAUUCGUGAAUCAUCGAAUCUUUGAACGCACAUUGCGCCCUUUGGUAUUCCAAAGGGCAUGCCUGUUUGAGCGUCAUUUCUCCCUCAAACCCCCGGGUUUGGUGUUGAGCAAUACGCUAGGUUUGUUUGAAAGAAUUUACGUGGAAACUUAUUUUAAGCGACUUAGGUUUAUCCAAAACGCUUAUUUUGCUAGUGGCCACCACAAUUUAUUUCAUAACUUUGACCUCAAAUCAGGUAGGACUACCCGCUGAACUUAAGCAUAUCAAUAAGCGGAGGA
rnacentral:rRNA from 1 species